rnacentral:lncRNA from 1 species
CUUUAAUUAUAUUGUUUAUUAAUUAAUUAUUAUUGUGCUAUUAUUUAAAAAAAAUAACUUUGUCAUACCAACUUUUAAACUACCAUUCUUUCAUAUUCCUUAACUCUUAUUCCUUAACUAUGACAAAUAAAUUUAUCAUACAAUCCUUUAAACCUUCAUCUUUUCUCAUUCCUAACCAUUGUGUGUAUAAAUAUAUGAUUUUGUGCACAAAUGCUAAAU